UACGGAGGGGGCUAGCGUUGUUCGGAAUUACUGGGCGUAAAGCGCACGUAGGCGGACUGUUAAGUCGGGGGUGAAAUCCUGGGGCUCAACCUCAGAAUUGCCUCCGAUACUGGCAGUCUCAAGUGCGGGAGAGGUGAGUGGAAUUCCCAGUGUAGAGGUGAAAUUCGUAGAUAUUGGGAAGAACACCAGUGGCGAAGGCGGCUCACUGGCCCGUAACUGACGCUGAGGUGCGAAAGCGUGGGGAGCAAACAGG
rnacentral:rRNA from 1 species